rnacentral:rRNA from 1 species
GACGAACCGUGCGAACGUUGUUCGGAAUCACUGGGCUUAAAGGGCGCGUAGGCGGGCUGUCAAGUCCGGGGUGAAAUCUUUCGGCUCAACCGGAAAAGUGCCUUGGAUACUGAUGGUCUGGAGGGAGGUAGGGGUAUGUGGAACUUCCGGUGGAGCGGUGAAAUGCGUUGAUAUCGGAAGGAACGCCGGUGGCGAAAGCGACGUACUGGACCUCUCUGACGCUGAGGCGACGAAAGGCUAGGGGAGCGAACGGG